rnacentral:rRNA from 1 species
CACGUAGGGGCCAAGCGUUGUCCGGAUUUAUUGGGCGUAAAGAGCUCGUAGGCGGCUCAGUAAGUCGGGUGUGAAAACUCCAGGCUCAACCUGGAGACGCCACCCGAUACUGCUGUGGCUAGAGUCCGGUAGGGGAGCGUGGAAUUCCUGGUGUAGCGGUGAAAUGCGCAGAUAUCAGGAGGAACACCGGUGGCGAAGGCGGCGCUCUGGGCCGGAACUGACGCUGAGGAGCGAAAGCGUGGGGAGCGAACAGG